rnacentral:rRNA from 1 species
AACGAACGCUGGCGGCAGGCUUAACACAUGCAAGUUGAACGAGAACGCACCUUCGGGUGUUAUUAAAGUGGCGAACGGGUGAGUAACGCGUGGGAACCAACCCUGGAGUGGGGGACAACUGCUGGAAACGGCAGCUAAUACCGCAUACGCCCUACGGGGGAAAGAUUUAUUGCUCUAGGACGGGCCCGCGUUGGAUUAGCUUGUUGGUGAGGUAAUGGCUCACCAAGGCUACGAUCUAUAGCUGGUCUGAGAGGAUGAUCAGCCACACUGGGACUGAGACACGGCCCAG